rnacentral:rRNA from 1 species
UACAGAGGUGCCAAGCGUUUAGGCGGAAUCACUGGGCUUAAAGCGCGUGUAGGUGGACGGGGUAAGUAUCUUUGUGAAAAUCCCCACGGCUCAACCGUGGAACUGCUGGAUAUACUGCUUUGUCUUUGAGGCACUUUAGGGGGCAGCUGGAACAAAUGGUGGAGCGGGUGAAAUGCGUAGAUAUCAUUUGGAACGCCAAAGGCGAAAGCAGGGCUGCUGGGGAGUGAUCUGACACUUGAGAGACGAAAGCUAGGGGGGAGCGAAUGGGGAUUUAGAAAACCCCUGUUAGU